UAGGUAGGAUCAUCCAAUUCUAAAUCCAAAGGAGAGAGGUUUUUAUCCCGAGAAAUGGACGAAGAGACAGAUAACUGAAUAGAGGGAGAAGGAGAUGAAUUGAUGGAUUUUGACGACGAAGAAAUACUAAGAUAUGAAGGUUGUUUUGAUAUCGCUGGUAUGUUCUCGCCCAACUCUUCUAAUCUACUGAACGUGGCAGAAGAAUUGGUAGACUUAUGAUCAGAUACUACAUCUUGGGCUAGGAACCUGUAAUAGAUCUCGCUGUUAACGAAUUCAGAAUAAUCACUGUUCUGCAUGAUAUCGAACACAUGCUCUUGAGCCAUAAGCAUUGCAUUCCUAGCCUCUACCCAUAGAUCAGGGUUUAAGUUAUCUUUACUUUGGUUAACGAAUUUAUUAAUUGUAUUAGUGAGAGGCUUUGGGAUGUCCAGUGGGUUAUCGACGCUUUCAAAGUAUGAUUUGACAAUGGCUGUAAAGUCUGUAUGGUCAGAAACGAUAUCGGAAAACGGCGCAAUCAUAUGCGCAUUCAAUGGAUCAUCCUGUGAUUCUUUUAGGCCUUCAACUACAAGCCAAAAAUGCAAAUAGCGAGAUCUGUUCUUUCUCUCCAUAAAUUCGAGAAAACAGGAAACCGCCGCCGAGUCAGAUAGGAUUUGAAGUAGUGAUUGCACUUGUUCAAAUAGCACCGCUUCUUUAUGCUGAAAUGGAGUUCCAGAAAGUAAGGAAAUCCUUUUCUCAGCAGUAAUUAUAGCUAUCUGUAAUCGCUCCCUAUAUUGUUUAAAUUCAAAAUCAAAUGCUUCGGUCUGUUCAAGUUGACGCCUUUGGACCAUUAGUUCAGAACGUAAUCUUCGGGCAUCUGAAAUAUUAGAGAUUUUUUUAAUUUCAUGAAUAUAUUGUUCAAAAGAGUGUUGACUAUCUUUUAAUCGGAGACGACGUGCUCCAACCUGAAAGUGAUUAGAUUGCUUGCGAAUGGCACGUUUCAGACGACGAAUCUUUCGCCGACGCUGAAUUAUACUACCGCUAGCCUGAAUAAUUAAAUAGUUGAAAAAAUCAGGAUCUGAAAUAUAAGAUACUAGCGGUAAUAAUGUAGUAUUAAUAAUAACCUCUGUAACGAGCGAAAGUACAAGAGGGCUGGUUUCAUAAUAAUUCGGUAGAAUAAUAGACAAAACUUGUGUCGUCCAAUUUCGUAA